AUUUUUACAUUAAAUGUGCACUAUUUUUGUUGAACAGGGUGAUGUUAGUGUCUGUUACACCCUUUGUUCUGCUGCUUGUUCUCGUUUAUUUUAUCGGGCUCUUCUUUUCGUUAUUGCCUGUUAAUUGUCUAAGUGUCCCCUCGAGGCCCAAGCUGCCUUACUCUAUGUAGCUGAUUUCACCUACUUAAUGGAUGAUGCAGGUAGCAUGCUACCUUUUUCUCAAAAAAAAAACUCACAAU
rnacentral:lncRNA from 1 species